GCUGGGUCAGUCUGUUCACACUGCGAUUUCAUUCAGGGUUGAGGUAGGAAAGAGGCAGCACAUGGGGCCAUCACAAGCCAGAGAGAGGAGUCGGUUAAUUAUAACAGCAGAGGUCAAGCAGGCCAGACAUGAGCUCCUGUCCGCUCCAGCCUGUCACAGUCUCACCUGCUGCCCACAAGCCCUUGAGGUGACACAUCGUGGAGGAGUGAAUGACUGGGGACUAUGCCUGCUGCAAGUGACUCUAGAAAACAUGCUGCUGUUAUCCAUUAGACUUGGCAUCCCACCAAUGACCUGGGUAUUUCUCCCAGACUAGGCAAGAUCACCAUACAUGAAGACCAUAUGGCACCUGUAGCCAAGCUGUGACAUGGUGUGAGCCAGCUGUGGAUGCUUCGCCAGCAUGAUUAAAUGUAAGGCAAUCCAAAAAUGAAGCUCCAAACUGUGCGAUGCAUUCGCAGGAUUCCAGCUUUGAAGAGACUCAAAAUCCCUGAAUGCCUCAAACACACAUCACUGAAACAAUGUUGUACCUGGCCUUGAGUGCUGUGCUUGCAGUAAAAAGCAGGAAAGUGUUCA